UUUGCAUCGGCAAAUCGGUGCUACCAGCUCCUGCUGAAUCCCCCAGGUCUUGACCGAAGCAAGGGUAGGUGGUUGUAGCGGUGAGACAUUGGUUUGCCAUUUU
rfam:Spirosoma sp. 48-14 SCNpilot_cont_300_bf_scaffold_201, whole genome shotgun sequence.